GAUGAACGCUGGCGGCGUGCCUAAUACAUGCAAGUCGAGCGAACAGAUAAGGAGCUUGCUCCUCUGACGUUAGCGGCGGACGGGUGAGUAACACGUGGAUAACCUACCUAUAAGACUGGGAUAACUUCGGGAAACCGGAGCUAAUACCGGAUAAUAUAUUGAACCGCAUGGUUCAAUAGUGAAAGACGGUUUUGCUGUCACUUAUAGAUGGAUCCGCGCCGCAUUAGCUAGUUGGUAAGGUAACGGCUUACCAAGGCGACGAUGCGUAGCCGACCUGAGAGGGUGAUCGGCCACACUGGAACUGAGACACGGUCCAGACUCCUACGGGAGGCAGCAGUAGGGAAUCUUCCGCAAUGGGCGAAAGCCUGACGGAGCAACGCCGCGUGAGUGAUGAAGGUCUUCGGAUCGUAAAACUCUGUUAUUAGGGAAGAACAAAUGUGUAAGUAACUAUGCACGUCUUGACGGUACCUAAUCAGAAAGCCACGGCUAACUACGUG
rnacentral:rRNA from 1 species